CGCAGAAUAUUUACUUAAAUGAGUAAAGUGAUAAUUAUAUAAUUAAAAAAAUUCUAAUAAAGUAUUAGCGAUAAAGCAAAUGAAAUGACACAAAGAAUUUGUAGUUGUCAAUUAGAUACAGCUAUACUAUUGCUUUGUGGAAAAUUUCUCUCUUUGGUGCUAAUUUUGGGAGGCUUCUUAUUAAUAUGAUUAACAAAGAAUUUAUGUUACAUGUUUAAUUUAAUGAACUAGCGUUUUCCAUUAAUUUUGAUAAAUUUUUUCCUUUUAUUGUGAAUGGUUUGCGAUUUCAUUUCCCGUAUAUAUAAAAAAAGCUUUGAUUAAUUUUAAAAUCACUUUUCAUCAUUUUUAUAUAUCUACUUGUUCUUACUAAUACUUACCGAAACCUUUUAUUAAUGCGUAAUUCAGGUGAACGUUUUAAUAUUUUAAUCAUGAUGGUAUGCAAGCCUGACUGUGUUAAUUUCAAGUAGAUUUUUAUAUCUCGGGCAGUUCUCAAACUUUUCAUCAUUAUAUUUAUAAUUUUUAAAUUGGCAGUAUUUUGCUAGCCAAAUGUCUGUGGUUGCUGAAAAAGAUGGAAAAUAUUCGAAAUAAAUAAUAUGUUUUAUUGAUACUUUCUGAUUAUCAACAUCCUACCAGAAAAGCCGCAAAAAGUAUCAAGGCAAUGCACCAUGUUGCCCAAAAGUAUUUAUGUGGCAACCCCAGAUAAAAGGUGGCAGCUGCCUAAAUUUUGGAUACUGUUGCAAUUUAUUACUUCUACUGAUGUGCUCGAAAAUAUUUUUGCAGCAUUUGUCACAUCUGUUUUGAAUCCUUAGCUACAGCUCUUGUACAUCGACGUGAACAUAAGAUAUUAAAAUACCGCUACAAAUGCCCACAUUGUUCCUAUUCCACUGAAAGGACUAC